rnacentral:rRNA from 1 species
AGAACGAACGCUGGCGGCAGGCUUAACACAUGCAAGUCGAGCGCUUGGAGCAAUCCGAGAGCGGCGGACGGGUGCGUAACGCGUGGGAACAUACCCUUUGGUUCGGAAUAACUCAGGGAAACUUGAGCUAAUACCGGAUAAGUCCGGAGCUUAUGGCUUUGGAGAAAGAUUUAUUGCCGAAGGAUUGGCCUGCGUCCGAUUAGCUAGUUGGUGAGGUAACGGCUCACCAAGGCGACGAUCGGUAGCUGGUCUGAGAGGAUGAUCAGCCACACUGGGACUGAGACACGGCCCAGACUCCUACGGGAGGCAGCAGUGGGGAAUAUUGGACAAUGGGCGCAAGCCUGAUCCAGCCAUGCCGCGUGAGUGAUGAAGGCCUUAGGGUUGUAAAGCUCUUUCGUCAGGGACGAUAAUGACGGUACCUGAAGAAGAAGCCCGGCAACUUCGUGCCAGCAGCCGC